UUAAGUGGAUGAUCCCUCUUUAAUGGUUGAACAACAGUGUCCUCCACUUCAUCAAUGAGUUCAGUCUCUUCUUCAUGACUGAAAUUGAUUCUUUUAACAUAGGGAGGGAUUUUUGGAUUUACUUCAGGUACCAACAUCACUUGAUUGAAAAUCUCUCUAAAUCUCCCAUCAUGACUGUCUUCAACUCGCAUCUCUUCUUUACCUCCACUAACGUUGAACUCACUAGUCUCUUCUAUUUCCUGGCUCUCUUCUCUUGCCUCAGCAUCUACCAUCUCUUUGUCUCCAUCUUCA
rnacentral:lncRNA from 1 species